rnacentral:rRNA from 1 species
AGCAGCCGCGGUAAUUCCAGCUCCAAUAGCGUAUAUUAAAGUUGUUGCAGUUAAAAAGCUCGUAGUUGAAUUUCGGGGUCAGUAGGUUGGUCAUGCCACUGGUAUGUACUGGUCUUACUGAUUCCUCCUUCCUGAUGAACUGUAAUGCCAUUAAUUUGGUGUUGCAGGGAAUCUGGACUGUUACUUUGAAAAAUUAGAGUGUUUAAAGCAGGCUAACGCCUGAAUACAUUAGCAUGGAAUAAUGAAAUAGGACGUUCGAUCCUAUUUUGUUGGUUUCUAGGAUUGACGUAAUGAUUAAUAGGGAUAGUUGGGGGCAUUAGUAUUCAAUUGUCAGAGUGAAAUUCUUGGAUUUAUUGAAGACUAACUACUGCGAAAGCAUUUGCCAAGGAUGUUUUCAUUAAUCAAGAACGAAAGUUAGGGGAUCGAAGACGAUCAGAUACCGUCGUAGUC